GCCCAGGUGGUGAAAUUGGUAUACACGCUAGACUUAGGAUCUAGUGCCGUCAGGCGUGGAGGUUCAAGUCCUCUCCUGGGCACCA
rnacentral:tRNA from 1 species